rnacentral:rRNA from 1 species
AUGGGGGCAGCAGCUGAUAAGCAUUACACAAAGAAAAUGAAAGCUCUCAAGUCCAAGAAAGCACAGGUUGUAGAACAGCGGGCAGAUCCUUCCUGCAAAAUAUGGUACAUCUGCAAAGGAACGCUUGUUUACCGUAGGAAGGCGGUUCCCCUUAGCCAUGGGGCAAUGCCGCAAGGUGCACAAAAGCCUGAUGCUCAACAGUUUUCAGUGGAUAGAUCAACUAGCUUGUCAGAUAUGUGGUGUGUUUCAAAUACAUGGCUACACAAACCAAAUCUCAGACGAUCCGACGGUAAUGAAAAGGAAACUGUUAACGAAUUUGACGAGGCUGAUAACAAAUUCCAGCAUAUGCUCCAGGAGUUGGAGAGUGUAAGAAAACAAGCUUACGAAGACAACUGCAGUCGUGAAAAGGCAGAAAGGGAGUUGUUUGAGGCUUUCCAGAAAGCACGAGCCUCUGAGAGUAUGUACUUCGGAGAAGUGAAGCAAAAGAAUCAAAUAGAGGAUAAGUUGAAAACAACACUGGAGGAAGUUGAAAGACUCACAGAAACAACUAAUGAACUUUGUGCAAAGCUUCAAGAUGAACGCAAGAAAAGAUUAGCCAUGGAGAAAACAACUUCCCAUUCAGACCGUAUUAUCAAGGAUUUGAUGUUGCAGCGUGACAAGGCAGUAAGAGAGGUAGAAGCACUACAUGCAAAGAAAGGAGAGUCUAGUGGAACCUCGGAGGGGACAAUGCACAUCACGGAGUUGUCCUGCUCGGAGAUUAACGGAGCAACCAACAACUUUGACCACUCACUGAAGGUUGGAGAAAGUGUUUAUGGAAGUGUGUACAAGGGCUUUCUUCGGCACACAAAUGUAGCUGUAAAGAAGUUGAAUCCUGAAAGCACACAGUCACAGUCGCAGUUCAAUCAAGAGAUAGAGAUUCUCAGCAGGGUUCGACAUCCAAACCUGGUGACUCUUAUAGGAGCUUGCAAGGACGCUCAAGCUCUUGUCUACGAAUACAUGCCCAAUGGAAGCUUGGAUGACCGCCUGGCUUGCAAAGACAAUUCUAAACCUCUCAGUUGGCAGUUGCGCACCCGCAUCAUUUCUGAUGUUUGCUCCGCGCUCAUCUUUCUCCAUUCUAAUAAACCCCAUAGCAUUGUCCACAGUGACCUUAAAGCAUUGAACAUUCUUCUUGAUGGAAACAAUGUAGCAAAGCUCAGUGGUUUUGGCGUGUGCCGAAUGUUCACUGAUGAGUUCAGGGGCAGAACCACUCUAUAUAAGCAUACCCACCCAAAGGGGUCUUUUGUGUACAUUGAUCCUGAAUAUGUUAUGACUGGUGACCUGACCCCCCUAUCUGAUGUAUACUCUUUCGGAAUCGUGCUACUGCGCCUUUUGACUGGAAGACCAGGAUUCGGGCUGUUGAAAGAUGUGCAACGGGCAGUGGAAAAGGGUUGCCUGGAAGCAAUUUUGGAUUCAUCUGCUGGGGGCUGGCCAGCUAUGCAGGCUGAGCAAUUGGCUCGGGUAGGUCUGAAAUGUUGUGAAAUCAGAAGAAAAAACCGCCCUGACCUGCAACCGGAGGUUUGGACUGUACUUGAACCAAUGUUGAAGUCUAGUUCCAUCAUUUUGUGUUCCUUAUCAUUUAAAUCAGUAUCCGAAGACCUUGGAGGUGUGCCGCCCUACUUCAUCUGUCCAAUACUACAGGAUAUCAUGAGGGAGCCUCUAAUUGCUGCAGAUGGUUUUACCUAUGAAGCCGAAGCUAUAAGGGAGUGA